AAAAAUGUUAUGCUGUUUCAUAGUUGCAAAAUACAUUAAUAAAAACCGGGGCUUCUAACAGUCCCAUAUGUGUUGGGAAGUGCUGUAUUGAUUACGAAUUACAAGGACUGCAGGAGAGCAGACUUUUCUGAGUUGCAUUUUUCAGUCUUUUGUAAAAAUAUCCCUCAGAUGUGAGUUAAUUUUUCAGUAAUGAAGUGCUAGCAAUUCCACUGCAGCCUUUCUGGGUAAUAAUUCCUCUAUAGAUAACUCCCCUUGUAUGUGCAUUUAAUAAUAUCAGUUAAUGCUGUAAUUGAUAUUACAGCAUUAUUUCAAAACUGCAUUAUAUUGUGAAUAAACUUUCAUCUCUGAAAUGCUGAAACUCCUUUAGAUGCAGCCAUACUUAAACCUACAUGUAGCAGCUAGGUGGCAGAAACUGUGCCUUUUUAAAAUAAAGUGGUACUAUAAAUGCAGCAGUGUUGCUUUGUAGUGACUGUUCAGUUUCUUUUAAAAAAAAAAUUGUGAUACCUUUGUACUGCCAGAAAUGUAUCCUUUGAGAAGACAACAGUAAGCAACUUCCUUCAGUUUUAUUAAUGGUAUCUUUUCUCUGAGUGUCUGAAUGGUCAGAAAUACAUUCUUCUGUUGCAUACCUGCCAUCUAUGUGGUUAUAAAAGAAAAAUAGCUGAGAGAUGUCACCUUGUGCUUUUAUAACUGUGGAAUUCUCAGUGUCUGCUGCGUCAUUUACCUGUCAUACCUUGCACACCUAAAUACAUACAACAAUUAAACAUGUGAGUGUGCCCCUGUAGAACAGAAGCCUAGAGUUUUAACUAUUUAAAGCAGGGACUGUUUCAUGGGUUUGUGUAUCAAUGAUGGCUCAGUCUGAUGGGUUUUUCCUCUGCAUAAAACGUUGGCCCAGCAAUGUGUGAAGGUGCUGUCUAAUCUUUGAGCUACCUGUGCUGUGGCAACAGCAAAUAAUAUUUCAGCGUGCACCAUCUUAUCUAAGUUACACAAGUUAGUUUUAGAGUCCAGUAGACUUACUGAAGAAUGACUAAGUUAUUUUGUGUGACAGGUUGGGAAAUAAGUACCUUGUUACAAAAUGGGGUAUUUAAGAAAGUGCUUGUGGAUGCAGAACUUCUGACCUCUCUAAAUGGACACUUCAUGUGCAACAGCUCUCUUAACUCUUGGCUUUCCAAAAAACUUGAUUUCUUAACAGCCAGGUUGGUUAGAAUUUGCAACACAUGAGCUGCGAGGUGGCUCAUUUGUCGUGAUGUUUAACCUUCAUUAAAUGGGACACUAAAUAGGAGUGUAUAACAUUACUGGAUUCAGAAGACAACAUGCAAGUUUUCCUCAUAGCUGAAAUUGUCAAGAGCAGGGUGUCCUAAAGGGCAGUGAGAGGGGUUAGUAUCUUACAUGUAUUGAACACUGAGGAACACAAAAUCUUACGUGGCAGUUGAAUAAUUUGUGGGGUUAUUGUGAAGCCCCUUUAGUCACUCUUGCUUUUUAAUGUCAGUUUUACACAUUAACAUUAUUGAGAGAGCAUUAUGGUUUUGACUACAGAAAGUGCUGUCUGAUUAAAAUGUUCUUGAGAAUCUUCCCAAGAGCUUUUCUUUAUAAGAACAAGCAUAUUAACUUAGCAAAAUGCUAAGCUGUUCAUUAAGGCAGUAAGCUCUAGCUGCCAGACUCAAGUUAUUUACAUGAAUUUGAAAUCAUAGCUGUACCUGUUUCUUGGGUUUAUGGCUUUGAGCAAGUGAGUUGAAUUCAUUUAGGCUACUUCUCAUUCAUUUGUUUACAUAUUCAAGGUGCUUUAUGGGCAAUUAUUGUCUUCAAAAUGCUUCAGUGCCUAAAUGGAGAGUGAUGCUGAAGAAGUUUCUCUAUGGAAACACGUGACUGAGAGUUGCAGAUUUGAUUCAUGCUUGUUCUUAGCAUUAUCAGCUAGUGUAUGUGUUUGCACUCUCCAAAAGAAUGAUGUCUGAAAAGGCUCAUAAAUCACAUCUGUUUGGUUUCUUCCGCUGCAACCAUGAAGUGGAAAACUGGAAGGCAAAAUGGGCUGUAGCUGAGAAAGAGGCACUUCUUGCCUUUAAGAAACCAAUGGCAGAUUUUUCCUGCAGUUUAGUUUCUUUCCAGUGUUCUCAUGACACUGUCCUCUCUUUCUAUGUGUACUUGUCUAAAUAUGAAAGACUUGGAGUUUUUUAGCAUUUUAGAGGAGACAGACAAACAAAAUGAUAAAACAACCCCCAAAAACUAAGCAAGAAAAAAACAUAGAGAAGUCUACUGCCACUUCAGAAUUUUGACUUGAAGCUCUCUUGGGGUUCUUCCACCUCUGGAGUUUCAUAAAUAUGAAGCAUGUCCCAGCUGCCAACCAGCCUUUUACUAGUUUCUGUGUUCAUAUGGGAAGGCUGAGUUCCAUGGUCAUCCAGACAACAGAGGGACCUCAGCCUCUGUUACGUGACUAAGAAGAGGUGGCAGACAGGGUUUAGGGUUUUGAAAAGAGUAGCUGCAUUUCCUGGAGUUCGUAUGCUUGGCUACUCUUGAAUGGAGAAGCUGUUGUACUCCUUGCUGGUCUUGAGACAUGCAGUCCCUUCCUCUUUGUUUACCCAUCUUUAAAGAUUGAGCUUUUCCUUGUGUUCAGCAAGUAAAGUUAGUGUAGUCUGUCAGUGGCCAUCCCAAGGAAGGGAGAGAGCCUGCAGCUGGAGCAGGGAAGAGGUACAUCUGCCGUGGGGCCCUGGUCCCUGCUCCACUGGUGGCUGCAUGACCUGGGUUAAAGAGGAGAGGGAGUGGGUGGUGAGCAGGGGGAUUACACUUAGAGAUGGGAAAGGCUGCACUUGGAAAAAUGGAAAGUCAUGGCAAAAGAAGCACUUCUUGCACAUAAAGUUAAUAAAAGAAAAAAAAAUGUCUGAACGGGAAGUGAGUUAAAAUUUGUGCUUGGAACCCUGUCAGUUAAAUCUUGAUUUAUCUCUUCACACAACUUCUGUAUGUAGUUCAAUAUAUUAUUACUGCCAUAGAUGUCAGUAUAUGCAUUUUAUUUUGGAUACGUAAUGCUAGUAAUGCAAUGUGGCAUAAAUCAUCUGGAAUUUAAACUCAUGUUGUGCCCAUUUCACAAUUUAGUACUUCUUUCCACUGUUAAAUUGAGUUGUGGUUUAACACCUGUUGGGACAAAUUGGGUUACAGGGCAAACUGUGAGAAGGAAAGUAUGUGUGGCUAUUAGUCAUUACAAUUUUAACUGUAGCUAAUUUCUCUUUGUCUUUCUCCCUCCCUCAUUUCAUAAACUAAUCUCAGUUUUGGCUUUACAGCCACUGAUUUACAUGUAUGAGGAGUUUCUCACCUGAGUAGCCUCUUCUCUAGCCUUAUGGAAGAAUUCCUCGUGAAUUUAAUAUGGAAUUCGCAGUCUGGUUUAAAAGAAUUUGGGAAGCUGUGUCAAUGCUUUACAUUUCUCAAGGACGCAGGUCAUCAUGGUAUUUUCAAGCCAGAUUCUGCUAUCUCUUAUUCAUCAACAGUUUUCACUGCAGAAAGGUCCAAAUCCAAAGGCUGAAUGUAGCAGGUCUAAUAAAAGCAGCAGAAUUUUACUCUUUUUGGCUUUUACCAUGUCCACUGUGAACCUGAAGAAUGCUUUUUCAUCAUGUUUGUGAGAUAAUCCUUUUUUUUUCUGCUUGAUUUAUUUCUAACAACUCUGAAGGCCAAUGAAUAUGGUAUUUUCUGGAAUGAAGUGUGUGUUUGGAGGCUGGGGGGAGUGUCAAGCUGUUUUUUGUCCUUUUGUUUUGAACUCCUCUUCCACAGAAGACGCGGUGUCCUACAGACAGAUAGAACAAUGCUAUAUUCCGCUUUAGCGUCGAAUCACAAGCAGGGUCUUUGGAAUUAAAGUUGGCGAAUUGCCUGGAUAUGUCCAGUUUUUAACAAGCACUGCUUUGUGCAUUAGCACCCUACGCUUCCUCCCUCCCCCCAGUGCUGCCACUGAAGAGAGGAGGAGAAACAAAAAAAAACCAAAAAAAACCCCACUCCAAACAGAAUAAAAGCAUCUGUUAGAGUGAAAAUGGGGAAGAAAGAAGGGAUGAAAAGGGCAUAAAAAAAUGUAUGCCAGAACAGCUGUCAAAUUUGUCAAAAGAGCUAGAGAGCUGGACAUUUUAAGUUAGUCACACUCCUGAGUAUCUGAUUACCUAUGUGUAAUUUUUUAACGUUAGGAACAGUGUAGAUGCAGCACAACUUUUUGUACAGAAUGCGGCUCAGUUUUCAUCAGGAUGUUUGAGUGCUCAUUUACCAGGACUUUGUACCCAAGAAUGAGCAUGUGAAAAUUUGACACUCACAUGUUCUUUCAGGGAAGGGCACUGAAGCUGAUAAAGGCUCUAGAGAGCGAGUCAUAUGAGGAGUGAUUGAGGGGGCUGGGGUGUUCAGCCUGGGGAAAAGGAGGCUCAAGGGAGACCUUACUGCUCUCUACAACCACCUGACAGCAGGCUGUAGCCAGGUGAGGGCUGGCCUCUUCUCCCAGGUAACCAGUGACAGGAUGAGAGGUCAUAGCCACAGGCUGUGCCUGUGGAGGCUCAAGUUGGACAUCAGGAGGAAUUUCUGCAUGGAAAGAUUUAUUACGUGUUGGAAUGGAUUUCCCAGGGAGUGGUGGAGUCACCAUCCCUGGAGGUGUUUAAGGAAAGACUGGACAUAGCACUUAGUGCCAUUGUCAGGUUUGUAAGGUGAUGUUCAUAGGUUGAACUCUGUGAUCUCAGAGGUCUUUUUCAACCUAAUUGAUCCUGUGAUUCUGGGAUUCUUUUUUUGAGUAUGCAGUCAAACGUGUGUCAUGGUGAGGAAUAUAGGUUUUUAUUGAGCAUAGCAGCAAAGUCAGGGUUUGGCAGACUUUGAGAUACAUUUCAAAACAGCAUUUUAUUAAAUAUUAUUGUUUGUGCUGCUUUUCUUCUUAAUUUUCUGAAGGAUAAAUAAAUGGAAGUGUCAAACUCAAAGGAUUAUCCUUCUUAAAAGAGAUCUGUGAAAGUAUUUAUCUGAUGGCAUUGAAAGACAGUUACCCAUAAAGAAAAGUACUAUCCUACUGUUGGUAAGCUUAUUGACAGAAUGGUAGGUGAAGAGCCCCUUCUGAUACCCUGUUCUACUUUGGUCAAGCAGUGUGACUGAUUGCAAAUCACCAUUAAGGUACUAUUUUUACCCACCUGAAAAGAUGUUUGUCUGGUAUAUUUAAUGCAGUGUGUCAUUUCAGCCUACCUGCAGACAAAAUUUCAGAUUUAAAUGAGGAUAUGUUCCUAAAAUCAAUUGCCUUGCAGUAGCUGCAUCCAGUACUGCACCCCAAAGAGGAAGGAAUCGUGAACAAUUGUGCAAAUAAGCCAACCCUUUAAUGAGAGAGGAGGAUAAUGAGGAGGUGGUACUCUGUGCUCCCCAGCUGGGCUAAACUCAUGGGAGCUGGAGUCACCAGACAAAGCUGAAAACUGAGAGCUGUGAAGCUGAACGGAAUUCUUGUAAUUCUUUUGAACUGCAGGCAAAAUUAUUUGACAGUGAAAAUUGUACCAGAGGAAUGUAUAAGCUCAAAUAUUUUCAGUGUAGAGAGUAAAGGGAAAUCUAUAGUCAAGUUAAUGACCAUAACAGAUGGCGUGUGUUUUCUGCAUUUCCAUUUUAUUUUUGACCCAGGAAUGAGGCUCUGGAGAAAAUCUCAUUUAUCCUUGUGCAGUGUGCUUUGGUUCAAAUCUCAGAAGUCCUGGAGUCCAUGACCUGGUUUCCUUUUGGAUGAAAAUGCCCUGAAAUUUGCCCUCCAGGAGGGCACUUGGGAAGUUCCCACCAUUGAGGGUUGCUCGGUUCAUGGGAUCAGGUUAGAGUUGGUUUGGAGUCACCUCCUCUCUUCUGAAAGUGCAUGGGUACUGAGACCUCAGCAGUGACUGUUCCCCCUGCAAGUCUGCUGCUAUUGCUUUGCGAGUUUACUUUUCUGUUGAAUCACUUGUUUCUACUUAAAACAUGUUGACUAAGCUAUAGAUAGCUUUUAUGGUAACUUUGCACGUGGUUUUGUCAUGCAUACAAUAUGCAGGUCUAUUUUCAGAAGAUGCAUAAUCUUAAGUUUUUUAAUUUAUUAAAAGAUGGAGGAUAAAUAAUAAAUCAGUUUAAAGUCAUACUUGGUUUGAAUGGAGAGCCCAUCAUUUUAAUGCACUCCAACACCUUCAGUUAUUUAUCAGUUAACUGAAACAACUGUAUACCAAAUCUGCCAGCAUAUGAGGAGCUAGUAAGCAGAAAUAGUUGCAUCUGAUCACUCUUGACCAUGUGCAUGCUGUAUUUUAAACCUGCACAUGAUCUGCCACAUGCUGCCAGCCAUCCACGGUUGUUUUGGCACAAGCCUUUGUGAGAAGGUGCACUUCUGAGGGAAGCUGGAGAGUGGGGAGCCCAUCUGAGGAGGUCUGGGGAGCUCAUACCUGUCCCUCUCUCUGCAGUGAGGGUGGGCUGUAGGUGCCAGGGCAGCCAUGGGCUCACCUGGCUGCCUUCAGCAGCAUCCUGAGGAAUCCUGCAGGGUUGUGAGGUCAGAGCACUUGUACUUGGGCUGUCUGCUGCAGCCUGGCAGUGUGCUGCUUUGGCAGGGGGUGUGCAGGGCCAGCUCUGGGAAAGCACUUUCUGACCCGCUUUCAAUCUAGUGACAGAGGGAAGUCUAUCAGAGUCUAAAAAGUGAAGAUAUCUGUGAGCUCACAGGUGUGUUCAGUAACCAAUAUGUAUCAUAAGCAGUUGGGGAAAAGCGUGUACGCUUUCUUCCUGUUGACCAUUCUUACCUUGAUUUAAAUGGCCUUUUCUAUGAUGGUCAAUUAGUGACCCAUAAUGCUCAAUAACACAUAACUUGAGAGAAAAAAAUGACUUAGGAACAGCUGGGAGCAGUAAUUUCUUACAGCUGCUUGUUUAUUCUUGCCUAUCCAGUCCAAGCACUGCCUGUAGGUGAAUUGAGAAGGUGGGCUUCCUUGCAGUAGCUGGGGUUUGUGGCUGUGCACCCAGCCCAGACCUGAGCAGCUCUUCCUGCCUGGAUUAGUCUCCACAACACCUGCAAUGAAAUGCUUCCGCUGGAACCAGAGUGGGGGAUUUUAAUCUGGCCUUGCUGGAAGCUGCUCUUGUCAUUUUUAUGGAGUGCAGACAGCAAAGAGAGGUAAACAUCCCCAUCCAAGAUCCAAAACAGUUCCAGAAAGCCUGGCUUGAGUAUUUAUGGUUUUAUGGUUUCUUUAGAAAGUAUAUUAAUGAGGUGGACAGUGCAGACUGCCUACAGAAGUUCUAGAUGUUGUCGCCUGAAAAUCUUGCUGCUCAGGAAAUAAAAAUGGCUUUUUAAUGAAAGCUUCUUUCCAAUCAGAGUGGAGGUUAUGUUGAUGUGUAUAAACUCUGAAAUAAGUCUUGUCUUUAUCUGCAUUUGUUAGUCCAGUGACAAUUAUAACUCUUAAUUUGAAAGAAGUUUUGUUUGGGGGUACAGAUGUGGCCUCUUGCAUGUUUUCUUCAUACUUUCAUCAGCCAGUAGUGUUCUAAGGAGGCAGAGGGUAUAAGGAUGGGGCCUUUGAGGAGUUUGAUGUGAUGAUUUAACUGUGGAGAAAACAGAGGGAAAACAGCUGGCCUCUGUUAGUUUCACCUAUCAGAAAUGGGAUUUGACAUCAGUAGAUGAGGUUUUAUUGUGAACUGCAAGAGAAUGUAGAGAUGACAGCUUAACCCCAGGCUCAUAGUGAAGAUUCUGUGGGAUUUCUGUUUGCUGAAUGCCACAGCACUUUUCAUGAUGCCCAGGAAAUACUGUCAUAUUAUUUACUGGUUUUUCACUCAUGCUCUUCUGAGUAUAAUAAUGAACUUCAGGCUGAAGAGAGAAGUUAAAACAAAACUGAAUAAUACAUUAAGAGAUUCUGAAGGCUGCCAAUAAUGAAGCUUGCUUUGAUCCCUUGUUCAAACACUGGUCAAGACAACUGAAACCCUGAUCUUCUCUCCAGUCCCUUUUCCCUUUGGUGUGGGUGAACCCACACACCUGCCUCUGUGGCUGAAAGCCUGCUCAGUUGGGUUUGUGGUGGCCUCUACUGGUGCUCCUCUGCAAGGGAAAAAAAUCACAAGCCCAGCUCUUCUAGUUUGCUCCUUUGAAAAUAUGAUAGUUCAGAAAAUCUCUCCUUGUUAAGUGAAGGAGAGGGAAGAUGAGACAAGCUCUUCUAGUGCAUCUGCUGUUGGACCCCUUUGAGUCAAGACUUGCCACCAAGAGUGCAACUCUCAAAGCUGAGUGUUCUGCUGACCAUUACAGGUUUGUUGCCUCCAAGAGCAGAUGUGGCCUGGGAGAAACUUGAUUUGAACCUCAAAGUAGCUUCUGCCAGCUUUGGUGCUGGCUCCUGCAAGCCAGCUGGGGUCAGGCAGCUGGGGGAGUUGGGGUGCUCUGCCCUGUGUGCUCCUCAGUGAGCCUUACUUGCUUUGGAUCACGAGUAUCUGCACUCAGGCCUAACCUGCUCCUGCCCCUCCAGAAUAAUUCAAUCCCACAGGUCAUUAAAGCUGCUUAGAAGCCUUCCAGCUGUCAUGGAUUAAAUAAAAUUAAUAAAAUCCAAAGAGGCCUUGAGCAUGUGUCAUUUAGAGGAUGCUUUGAAUUGAUGUGAGUACAGGGCUCUUCCCUGCUCCUGCUAGGCCAGAGAAAGCAUGUCAGUGGGUUUGCAUGCCAAGGGAAGCAUGGUGGGAGAGCUUGGAGCUGGGGCAAGAAACAUCACUGAGAGGAGUUGUCUACGUUGUGUCUCCAUCCUUCUCAGCUGAAGAGCAAGGCAUUGCUGUGAGCAGCAAAAGGCUUUCUCGCUUCAGGUUUAAAUGACUCUUCACGUGCUUGUGAACAUCACACUAGGACCUGUUUGUAAUCUUUUGCCAGUAAAUUGUCAGUAGGGAGAGGGGAUCUAUGGGUGGUUUGUCCAUCAGGUAUGUUUAGUUUUUUUCUAGGAACUAGAAAAAUUUCCAAGCUCUGGGAUGUUCUGGUCCCUCCUAGUGAAUUGUUGUCCAGGGAAGGUGUAGGCUCUUUUCUUUGUUUGGUUGCUUUUUUCCCCUUGGACACCCAAAAGUUGACUCUUGAGCUGUUGGAGCAGGGUGUCAGGCUUCUGUCUGUGAACUGAGCUGCUAUGCUUAUCUAGCUCAUGAGGAUGGCAGUCUGGUGCAGAAAGUGAGGCUGUUGCAAAGUCGUGGCCCAAAAGCACAUAGUUUGGUUUUGAAUGUUGUGCUUUGAGUUUAUCAGUUUUGCCUCUUGGUCAAUAGUUGAAGGUUCCAUAUUUAGGCUUUUUAUCAGAAAUAAAAUCCAGGCUAGAAAAUUGGGGUUUAUUUUGUUUUAAGCAACUUAUAGAUCAUGUUUAAUGGUUGGAAAGCUGAAGCCCUGUUAAAAGCACUGAAUAUCAUGAAACUUGAAAUAAAAUCAUGAGAUGGCAGUGUUGCUUCUAGCAGCUGAUCUCUUUGGCAGUGCUUCAUUUUCUAGGUCUCCAUGCAAAUGCUUUUUGCUUGCUAAAAGCCUUAUAUUGACAAAUUACAGCCAAGGCUAAAUGCAUGAUUAUUUCCACUGUCUAACCUGUUUAUCACUUUUGUGUUGCUUCUGGAUUUGUCAGUUGAAUUUCUCACAGGCACAAAUUAGUGCACUUGUUUUCCUGGCAACACAUAGAUUUUGAAUAUGGUUAAGUGCAUUUGAAUUAAUCUGACAUCUGGGGAUGUGGGUAGUGAGAACAGGUUUCCAUGUUAGCAGCUAACUUUAGCCUUGUAGCUGAGGAGGCUCUCUGUAACCAUGUGGGGUGGCAGGAGGGAGCUCUGCCAUGCUGCAGCGCUGGCUGUCAAGAGCGCCCCAAGGGACUGGCCCCUUGACUGAUGUGCUUCAAUUUAAUCCAACCCAUUUCGACCACAAGGGUACUGUUGGCCUCAGAGCAACAGGGAGCUGUCCCAUUCAAGUUCAAGUGAUCCUUAAACUCCUUCUGGCUGCUUCAGUCCUUAGCUUUUAGCCUGAGUAUUUAGGCAUGCUUUGAAGGAGGGCAUUGCCAGUGGGUAUGAGAAUACCCUUGAUGUGGCAGGCAGUGCUUUAUCAGUUUGUGUUUAAGUGUUUGAGAUUUAAGUGUGUAAGACCCUGCCUCCUUGGGCUUGCCAGGUAUGUCAAGACUCAGCUAACAUUUGCCACCAGAAGAGGUUUCUGUGAAGUCCGUGUCACAUGCUGCUUGCUCACUGUGGUCUGCUGGCACUGUAAUAACACUGCAGUGCUUCCAUACUGAGCUUGGAAAAGGUUUCAGCUUACUUAUGCAGCCCUUUAAACAGGAUCCAGUCCUUAGCAAGAUCUUUCUCUGUGCAUCAAAGAGUAACCAUGCCCCUAAUAAACUUGGGAGUUUAUUUCCCUGGGUCUUUCUUCUUGCCCCAAAGCUUUCCUGCAGUUUGUAUCCUCAAAGGGUGACGUUUUUUUCCUUUCAGCUGGAAUAAUGGCUGCCCUUGCUGCACUUGAAUAACAUCGAUGUCCUUUGAGCAGGGGGAGGCAGAAGCAUUUCCUGACUAGACAGCAAACCAAACUGGCACAGGGAUAAGCUUUUAAACAGCUUGCAUGUUGUGUGGGCAGCCUUCUCCAUGGAAUUCGAGGAUGGGAACUUCAAUGUAUGGAAUCUUUGCAUGGAAAUCAACAUCAAUAUGUGCUAUAGAAGAAUAAUUGGCUGGUGGUGGCAGCUGCUUCAGAGCUACAGCAAAUUCAGGUGGCUGAGCCUGGCUGUGUGAAACCCUGGUGGCGGCCUCUUGGUCCUUUGCAGUGCCAUGAGACUGUGGAAGCAAUGAAAGGUGGCCUAACAGUGUGAGCUCAGGAGAAACAAAUACAAAAAUGAAGGGUUGAAAUAGAGCAAUGAAAUGUAAAAAUAUUCCUUCCUGGAAAGGGCCUUCAUGCCAUUUAGAAAGGGAAAGAGAUGCGCCUGCAUUCUUCUGCCAAGAUCCCCAGUGCACAUUGGCUUGGCUUCAGUAAUUUUUAAUAGAAUUCAACCUCAAGCGCUUCCAAAUGAGCAAACAGGAGUUGAAUUAACUUAAAGGACUCUUUCCCUUUGAAAGACAGAGAUAACAAAA